rnacentral:rRNA from 1 species
CUAUAUACGGCUUCCACUAAGGUAAUACUAUACCCUUGGCGGCCUUUAUCUUAUUAGAGGAAUUUGUUUUUUAAUCGACAGUAAGCGCUAAUUUUAACUAUCUUUCACGCCCUUAUACCGCUGUCUCAAGAUCAAAAUUCAUAUUUUGCUCUAAACGGAACUUUCAUUCAAGUCAAGUCAAGGUGAAGCUUAUAAAAUAGUCUAAAUAAAUUAUUCAUUAGCCAUACUAUAGGAUUUUUUCAUAAAUGAUACAAUGAAUUAAGAUCUAUAAGUACUAAAAAGUUAAUCUCUCUUCAAGAAUUUGAAAAAAAGGUGUACAUAUCGCCCGUCGCCCUCGUCUAAAGAUGAGGUAAGUCGUAACACAGUUAAUAUACUGGAAAGUGUAUUAAGAGAACUAAUAAAGCUUCAAGCAAUUCACUUACACUGAAAAGACAAUAAUUAUUUUACUUCACCUCUUUAUCAAAAAUAAUUAUAUGUUUAAGCCUACUCCCACCGCACAAUAAAAACUGAAAAGGUCAAACUUCUAUUUCUAUAGUAAUUCAUUGUACCUUUUGUAUCAGGGAAAAUUAAAUCAACACCUUAAUACUCCCAUCCCGAAAAAGAUUGAUCUUCUUCACCUACUUUAUUUUAUUGCACAAAUGUAAAGAAAGGUGGAGAAGCUGAGAAAUUCUUGUCAAAAUCUUUGAUAUCUGGUUUAUUCAAAAAGUAAUAAUACUCAAAACAUUAAAAGAACAAGCUUUUAAUUAAUAAUUACCCGCCCGCUCACCCACAUACUUGGAUUAGUAGUGUCCUCAUCGUGUAAAAACUGCCAUCAACUACAAGCAAACUAUAGAAACUAUGAAUAUCCCCCCUAACCAACCUAAUAAUAAUUUUAUCAGUAAAAAUAACAUACAAACCAAUAAUCUCUAGAUAGUUCCAUCUUUAUACCAUUCCAUUAAAUUCAUGAACUAGGCCAUUUUCAAUUGACUGUUUCUCAAAAACAUCUCUAACAGUAGAUUUCAUUGUUAGUAAAGCCUGCUCAAUGUACAAUAA